rnacentral:lncRNA from 1 species
UUACGAUAGUAGUGAUCAUUGUUAUCAAGAAGUCAAUAGUGAUAGUGAUCCCGAUGUGGAUGAUGUCCCCGAUGAUAUUGAUGAUGAAGACGUGAAUGACGAUGGAAACAUUAACGCGUCUUCGGUCGGGAACUAGAUGCGACGUGUUGUGAUUCACAAUAAUCCUGGGCCACACAUGUCGCUCAUAGACCCCGACGUGGCGCAUGUAGCCGAGUUU